AAGUCGUAACAAGGUUUCCGUAGGUGAACCUGCGGAAGGAUCAUUACUGAGUUAGGGUCUCAUCUCGAGCCCGAACCUCCAACCCUUUGUAUAAAACACUUUGUUGCUUUGGCAGGCCCGUCUGAAAAUCCUUUCACCGGGAUCGACGACCGCCGGGGGGCGUUUAGUCACCUCUGGCCAGUGCUUGCCGAUAGCCUAUUCAAAAAUUCUUUAUUAAAAUCAUGUCUGAAAAAAUUAUAACUAAAUAUAAUUAAAAA
rnacentral:misc_RNA from 1 species